CCGAGUUUACAACUCCACAAACCCCUGUGAACAUACCUAUAUGUUGCCUCGGCGGAUCAGCCCGCCGCCCCCGUAAAACGGGACGGCCCGCCGCAGGAUCCACAAACUCUGUUUUUAUUGUAACUUCUGAGUAACAAAACAAAUAAAUCA
rnacentral:misc_RNA from 1 species